UAGGGAAUCUUCGGCAAUGGGGGGAACCCUGACCGAGCAACGCCGCGUGAGUGAAGAAGGUUUUCGGAUCGCAAAGCUCUGUUGUUAAGGAAGAACGAGUGUGAGAAUGGAAAGUUCAUACUGUGACGGUACUUAACCAGAAAGGGACGGCUAACUACGUGCCAGCAGCCGCGGUAAUACAUAGGUCCCGAGCGUUGUCCGGAUUUAUUGGGCGUAAAGCGAGCGCAGGCGGUUAGAAAAGUCUGAAGUGAAAGGCAGUGGCUCAACCAUUGUAGGCUUUGGAAACUGUUUAACUUGAGUGCAGAAGGGGAGAGUGGAAUUCCAUGUGUAGCGGUGAAAUGCGUAGAUAUAUGGAGGAACACCGGUGGCGAAAGCGGCUCUCUGGUCUGUCACUGACGCUGAGGCUCGAAAGCGUGGGGAGCGAACAGGAUUAGAUACCCUGGUAGUCCACGCCGUAAACGAUGAGUGCUAGGUGUUGGGUCCUUUCCGGGGCUCAGUGCCGCAGCUAACGCAUUAAGCACUCCGCCUGGGGAGUACGACCGCAAGGUUG
rnacentral:rRNA from 1 species